UACGAAGGGGGCUAGCGUUGCUCGGAAUUACUGGGCGUAAAGGGUGCGUAGGCGGGUCUGUAAGUCAGGGGUGAAAUCCUGGAGCUCAACUCCAGAACUGCCUUUGAUACUGCGGAUCUUGAGUUCGGGAGAGGUGAGUGGAACUGCGAGUGUAGAGGUGAAAUUCGUAGAUAUUCGCAAGAACACCAGUGGCGAAGGCGGCGCACUGGCCCGAUACUGACGCUGAGGCACGAAAGCGUGGGGAGCAAACAGG
rnacentral:rRNA from 1 species